rnacentral:rRNA from 1 species
CCUACGGGGGGCUGCAGUGGGGAAUAUUGGUCAAUGGGCGAAAGCCUGAACCAGCCAUGCCGCGUGGAGGAUGAAGGCCUUCGGGUCGUAAACUCCUUUUCUGAGGGAAGAACCGCCUGGGGAGGAAAUGCCCUGGGUUUGACGGUACCUCAGGAAUAAGCAACGGCCAACUCCGUGCCAGCAGCCGCGGUAAUACGGAGGUUGCAAGCGUUGUUCGGAAUUACUGGGCGUAAAGGGAGCGCAGGCGGCCAAAUCAGUCUGAAGUGAAAUCCCGGAGCUUAACUCCGGACGUGCUUUGGAUACUGUUUGGCUUGAGUUCGCGAGAGGUAAGCGGAAUUCCAGGUGUAGCGGUGAAAUGCGUAGAUAUCUGGAGGAACAUCGGUGGCGAAAGCGGCUUACUGGCGCGAUACUGACGCUGAGGCUCGAAAGCGUGGGGAGCGAACGGGCUUAGAUACCCCAGUAGUC